rnacentral:rRNA from 1 species
UACAGAGGUCCCAAGCGUUGUUCGGAUUCAUUGGGCGUAAAGGGCGCGUAGGCGGCGGGGUAAGUCGGAUGUGAAAUCUCGGGGCUCAACCUCGAACCUGCAUUCGAUACUGCCUUGCUAGAGUACUGGAGAGGAGAUCGGAAUUUACGGUGGAGCGGUGAAAUGCGUAGAUAUAGUAAGGAAGACCAGUGGCGAAGGCGGAUCUCUGGACAGUUACUGACACUGAGGCGCGAAGGCCAGGGGAGCAAACGGG